CAGUCGCCGCGGGAAUACAGAGGGUGCGAGCGUUAAUCGGAUUUACUGGGCGUAAAGCGUGCGUAGGCGGCUUCUUAAGUCGGAUGUGAAAUCCCUGAGCUUAACUUAGGAAUUGCAUUCGAUACUGGGAAGCUAGAGUAUGGGAGAGGAUGGUAGAAUUCCAGGUGUAGCGGUGAAAUGCGUAGAGAUCUGGAGGAAUACCGAUGGCGAAGGCAGCCAUCUGGCCUAAUACUGACGCUGAGGUACGAAAGCAUGGGGAGCAAACAGGAUUAGAUAUCCCCGUAGUCCCUGUCUCUUAUAC
rnacentral:rRNA from 1 species